CAAGAACCAAUCUACGUCGCAAACACACACAAAAUUUGACAAGCAAAAUCAGCUCUCCAAAAAAGUAUAUUUAGUGAAUCAAAUUGAGCAGCGCAGAGCUUGUUAGAGAAAAUUUGAUACAUGGCACAAGCAAUGGCUUCAAUGGCUGGCCUACGUGCAACAUCUCAGGCUGUCCUUGAAGGUAGCCUCCAGCUAAGUGGUUCAAACAGGUUGUUGAAGGUGCCUAGCAACACCGCUCGUGUGGCUGUGGCACGUCCUGUUCUUACUGUUAAAGCCCAACAACAAGUGUCCGGUGAGCCUGAAACUAGCCGUAGGGGCAUGUUGGGUCUUGUUGCUGCUGGUUUGGCUUCUGGUUCUUUUGUUCAAGCUGUUCUUGCUGCCGCUCUCCCUAUCAAAGUUGGCCCUCCUCCCGCUCCUUCUGGCGGACUAACUGGGACGUUGAACUCUGAUGAAGCAAGAGACUUGGUCCUGCCAUUGAAAGAAAGGUUUUUCUUGCAACCACUCCCCCCAGCUGCGGCAGCAGCAAGGGCUAAGGAGUCAGCUAAGGAGAUUAUUGGUGUGAAAGGUUUGAUUGACAAGAAGGCUUGGCCUUAUGUCCAAAAUGAUCUUCGCCUCAAGGCUUCAUAUCUUCGUUAUGAUCUCAACACUGUUAUAUCUGCUAAGUCCAAGGAUGAGAAGAAAUCCCUCAAGGAACUUACUGGAAAGCUCUUUGAUACCAUCAGCAAUCUGGACCAUGCAGCAAAGAUUAAGAGCACCCCUGAAGCAGAGAAGUACUAUGCUCAGACUGUAUCUGCUCUGAAUGAUGUUCUUGCUAAGCUUGGUUAAGAGAAACUCAUGCAAUGAUGUUUUCGGAGCAUGAAAAUCAUAGGUCGUGAAAGCAGAAUCAUGAAUAUCAGAUCAUAAUGACUUCAUCAAAUGGUAAUGACAUCUGGUUUCUUUACUAGAAGAGUGCUUCUACAAGCUUUCAUAAACUAUAUCAUCAUAAAAUGGAUUCUCCAGAUAAGGAAACAAUUAGCGAAAGCAGGAAAUCCGGCCGCAGACCUAGUUAUGUUAAUUUUUCUACCGUGAGUAAAUUUCAUCAAUUUUUGGGCUAGAGGAAGGAGAAGAUUGGUGAUUCUUGGAGCAAGAAGCCAUGGCCAUGAUAGCAAUGAAGAGUGCUAGAGAAACUGGCUUCCUUUGUAGCACAAGAAACUCGGUUGCUAGGAGGACCUUGGGGAGGAAUCGAUGAGCUAAGGGAUGAUUUAUACAGCAUGAAAUCUUUCCUUCAGGAUGCAGAAGCAAGAAGUGAGAGUGAUCAAGGACUGCAAAUUUGGGCGAAACAAGUGAGAGAUGUGGCUUAUGAUGCUGAAGACAUUCUCGAGCUCCGCUCAGCACCACCUCAAGGAAGUGGUUUUAUCCAUUCUCUUUGCAAUUCCUAUCGUUGCAUCCGUAAAUUAAGGGCUCAACAUCGGCAGGCAGUCCAGUUACAGAGCAUUAAGGCAAGGGCAAAGGCCAUCAUUUCGGAGAGAAGAAAGUAGAAACGCAUUUUCUUUGAAUAAAGUAGACAUGGCUACAACCUCCAGCCCUACGGUAGAGAAAUGGCAUGACCGCCGGGCGCCGGUUAGCUUCUCUUUACAUAGAUGAAGCUGCUGUUGUGGGAAUUGAGAACCCUAAACAUCUGCUGAUUUCAUGGCUAGUAGAAGGAGAAGAAAAGCUUACCAGUAUCUUGGAUGGGAGGAUUGGGAAAAAAACCCUCGUCAAGAAAGUUUUUGAUAGCCAAGCCAUCAGAAGAUGCUUUGAUUGUCAUUCCUGGGUUACUGUUUCCAAGUCAUUUUCACCCACAGAGCUUCUACGAGUUGCCCUGUAAGGCUUACUGGAGGCAACUAAAGAACCAGCCCUAGAGAAAUUGGAAUCGAUGAACGACUUCCAAUUGAUUGGUGCACUAAGGAAACAUCUACAACAAAGGAGGUAGUCAUUGUUUUCGAUAAUGUAUGGAGUGUAAAUGCUUGGGAAACAAUAAUAUAUGCAUUUUGUAACUGUA